AUAUUAAAUAUUGAAGUUACUCAUCGGCCUCCAAAAGAUGAGAAAGAAAAAACUUCUGAGGAAGAAAAUUUGGUAAAAGAUAAAAUUUUCCAACUAGCUCAGGACACAGAGAGAGAUCUUACUUCCAAGGUGCAAGCCAUAGAAAAAACCCAUGAGCUAUUCAAACACAAUAGUUAUUACAAACUAGGAUUUUUAACAAGUUAUAUCAACACCACCCACCAUGCUUUGGUCGAGUUGGUGAAGUACGUAGGCAGAAAUAAAGACGACUGGGACGUGCUGAAAGUUUUGAAUGCUUAUGUACAGAUCAAAAGAACCAAAGAGUUUCUGACCGAAAUGCUGGCCACUCUAGCGUUCAUACAAAGCAGGCAGUCUAUGGCCAUGCCGCUUAGCGUUGAACAACCGAAGAAACGCGUCAGCAGUAUAGCCUGGUCUUACUAUGAUGAUGACCAUUAAUUUAUUGUAUAAAGUCCGGUCGCCGAGCACGUAAAAUUUCGUCCAAUGACCCCAAACUAAGCGUAAUUAUAUUGCGUGCGUGCGUAGUGCGUUGCAGUACGAAGUUUCAUACAAAGAAUACUGACCACCUCGAGUUGAUACGGUUACGAUCCCUUUCCGGGUUGAUAAGUGUGCUUUGUCCUUAAGGCCCAGAAGAACAGACGGUGAAACGCAACUGCAACGAAACUGCAACUUUCUGAUGAUUCUGAUGAAUGAAACUGAAACUGAAAGUUUCAAACUGGUCGCGUCAUGUGUGGUCUCAACGGACGCUAUGGCAGAAACUUAGAUGCAACUCAAAAGUAACUAACAGUUGCAGUUUCGUUGCAGUUGCGUUUCACCGUCUGUUCUGGGCCUAAAUGUGUUAACUGAUCGAUUACUCACGGGGUCGGCUUAUUUGUAAGUAAAAGAAAGUCAUCAAGUAUCAAUUUCAUUUAUUUACAAAUAAUAAAUAAUCUCACAAUAUUAUGCAAAGUUACAACUAAUCAGAUCUACGUAUGUCGUGGUCUAAAAUAGAUAUAAAGCCCGGCCCGUGAGCACGUGGAAUUUUGUCAAAUGACCCCUAGCUACCAAUCCUUAUCGCUCGCGCGUAAUUAUAUUGCUGUCGCGACUGUGCGACUGGCACCCGCAGUGAGUGUGCGAGCGUGAUAGCAAAAUAAUUACGCGCGAGCGAUAAGGAUGGGUAGCUUGGGUUCAUUGGACAAAAUUCUACGUGCUCACGGACCAGACUUUAGAUCGUUUCAUCCACUCGGCCGCGCCCCACCAAUGUUUGGUCUCGGCCGCGCGGGGUGCGGGGAGUGUGGUCCGAGCAAUCCGUAAGGCAUUACUGUAGUGUGCGUGUGCACUCAUGGAGCAUUAGCGUGUACCGAUAACACUCAAACAUUCGCUUAAGAAUGGUGGGGCGCGUCCGAGUGGAUGAAACGAUCUACAAUGUCUGUAUAAAUAAGUGUAAAAUUAUUAAUACUAUUAUUAUUAUGGCAUAAAACUCACUUAUACAUACUAUUGUAUAACUAGUAAUAUUGUAAGGCAAUUCAACUUGCCCUAAAAUGAUGCAUUUCGGACUUUAUUUCAUCUCAAUAAGAUUCAAAAUAAAAUCAAUAUGGUGCCAAACAAAUAUAAAUCCGUCUAUACCAAAGGCGUCUACUGGUGAUAUAUAUUUUUAAAUAAAUAAAAUAAAAUAUGUAAAAUUCAAAUUAGAUCACCUAUUAUUUUGUAAAAUAUAAAACAAUAAAAUUGUGUAAAUUCAUAAUUUUUAUCUUCAUUCAUCACUUCCUAGCCCUUUCAAGUUGUAUAAGUUUCUAUUUAUGUAUUGAGGGUCACUACAUUAUGAGUACAUGUAAAAAUAUAUUUAUUUCAUCAUUA